CCCUCCCUCCCUCCCUCCCUCCUGUGGCCUCAGCUCUGGGGAUACAGGCCGGGCGCCCAGUGUCUGUCCUGGGAGGUCCCAAGUGCGGGACAGUUUUCCCACCACCUGAGCGGUGACUGCUGUUUGAAAUGGGUGGAGGUCAGGUCCUCGGGUGCCCAUCGCUCUCCUGUAGCGUUUGGUCCCAGCCCCUCCCGUGCAGCAUCAUUGCCCACCCUUCAUUGUAGAACGAGCAUUUGCAGACUGGAGUGGCACUUUCGUCGGUCGGAGGAUCCAGCCUUACCCACCGACACCGACGUCUCUGACGGCCGGACCUCCCGUCCCUGACAAGCUGGCCACCUCUGGGGACAGCCGUUCCGUUGCUGACAGUGCUGUCCAGCCACGUCCUCCGGGCCCUGCCCUGGCCUGGCCCCGCCCGCUGGGACCCCCAGCCCUGCCUUCGCGUGUGAGCAUCCCCGCUGCUCCCUGGUGCCCCCAGCUUUCCUCUCUCAUCCCGCCCACCUCACUGCUCUAGAGCUGUCUCCCCCCCCACCCCAUGGACAGUGACACCCCGAAAGCAGGGCCGUGCUGUGUCUUUCCCUAGGUUGGAGUUUGACAUAUAAUCAGCGCCUAAUAAUUGCUAAGGGAGUGACACCUUUCAUGGUCAGAGUGGAUUUUGCUUUUUCUGGGAGCCAUCUGCCCUGUACCUUCCUGGCUGCGCCCUCAGAGGCUGUGUCUUCCCAAACAAGAACGAGGCUGGCCUCCUGACCCUGAACUGCCCCACUGGGCCUCCGCCCCGGCCUCUAUACACCUCUUUCUUUACUGCCAGUGGGCCGUGGUGUUCUCCUCUUCCAGAACAUCCUUCCCGACCACUCACUGGCUUCCCAAAUGUCGGUGUAACUGGGGGAUGGAUUGUCUGGUGCCCAUACUUCCCCUUGUCCUCCCUCUGUCCCAAAGCCCGGAGACACAGGACCCCUGAGAACUGCGUCGACCCUUCGGUGGCCACGCUUCUCCCUCUUCCUUUCUCCUUCCUUGGUGUUUUUUGAGCAUCUACUCUAUGCCCCGGUGGGGGUCCCGGAGACACACCCGAUGUCAGUGCCUCUCCCCUGCAAAUUUACCCCACUGUUACGUCCUCUGGGGACCCUGCUCUCAUUCCCACCCAGAUAGAUACCUACAGCGAGACGCCUGGUGGGGGAUCUGAGGACCCCGGCUCUAGAGUCCCGGUUUAGUUGUGUUUGGCUGCGUGACCCAGGCGAGCCACCUGCCUUCUCUCAGCCUCAGGAUCCGUCUCUUCCAAAUGGAUGUUUUGUCGUAAACAGUCUCUAAGGUUUCUUCUGCUUGUCCAGGGCUCAGCGAGCUUGCUUGGUACACGCAGCGGAACCCAGCCCCGUUUACACGCACGUCGCCUCGGCAAACGGGAAACAAAGGCGUGGUGCAGAGAGCUGGCGCUACGGAGAGGUGACACCAAGGACAGCAGGGGGACUGCUUAAUUUGUCAUCUUUGCAUAUCUCCAUGGCGUUGAGCGCCAGCUGGGAACAGAAGUCCUAAAAUACCCAAGCGAGGCCAUCUCUGCAGAAGGAGAGACUCUCAACGGAGCCAGCAAGACUCUCUCUCCUCCAAUUUAUGCAUCCUCAAAAAACUUUUAAGUGGAUUGGUUGAAAUCUUGUUUUCCCCCUAGUGUUCCUGUCUCUCAGUUCUCCCCUUUUAUACUCCAUGGUAUGUGUGAUUUCCAGAAAAAAAACAAAUCCCAAAUACAAUUAGCAGCUAGGAA